GCCAGAAGAGGAGGUGAGUGAUAGCUCCCACCCUGCCAUUGUUCCACUGAAGGACGCUCCACCAAUCACAGAGCAGGAAAACGUCCCGAGUCCCGCCCCCAACUACAUCACCAUCCACUACUCCAGAGUACCCAGUGUGGACCAGGUGGAAGUCCCCAAGCUGCCUCAGGGUAGAAGCAAAGAACCAAAGGAUUCUUCUAACGUUGUUUACAACCUGCUGUCGCAGCAACGCCGCUAGACACAGCAGUCAGAAGAACCAAUCCAAGGGUAACCCAUCACCUGUGAGCGGACAACACAUAAUUGGCUCCCGUUUUCCCAAGACCAGAGAGGAUUGUGGGAUACAAAAUAUAACAUUAUAUGUGAAGGCUUUCCUAACUUAGCUGAAGCAUAUUGAACUUGAAACACAAGAUACCCCAGCCUUUAUUGGACCACGUGGUCAACGUAGGGCGUUCUGUCUCUAGAGGAUAAUUUAUGUUACUACGCUUUUGUCUUCUAUCUUUAAACCUUAAUGCUGAAGUGAAAAAAGUAUUUAAAAUACAUGUUCAAGAAACAAACAGCAUCCUAUGUGUUUUUGCUAGCACUCCUGCAGAGGGAAAACAGAUGACAACAACUAAUUUGCAUAAUUGAUGUCUUUGUUCGAAUUUGGUAUGCAAUUCUAAAUGAAUGUUGGUAUAACUGAAUUUGCUUGAUUGAUGAAACAGCGAUAACAGUCAUUUAAGUUGUCAUUUUCCGACUUUAACGCUAAAAAUUACAAAACCUGAUA